AAAUUGAAGAGUUUGAUCAUGGCUCAGAUUGAACGCUGGCGGCAGGCCUAACACAUGCAAGUCGAACGGUAACAGGAAGCAGCUUGCUGCUUCGCUGACGAGUGGCGGACGGGUGAGUAAUGUCUGGGAAGCUGCCUGAUGGAGGGGGAUAACUACUGGAAACGGUGGCUAAUACCGCAUAACGUCGCAAGACCAAAGAGGGGGACCUUCGGGCCUCUUGCCAUCAGAUGUGCCCAGAUGGGAUUAGCUAGUUGGUGAGGUAACGGCUCACCAAGGCGACGAUCCC
rnacentral:rRNA from 1 species